rnacentral:rRNA from 1 species
AGGAUGAACGCUGGCGGCGUGCUUAACACAUGCAAGUCGAACGAUGAAGGCUGGAGCUUGCUCUGGCUGGAUUAGUGGCGAACGGGUGAGUAACACGUGAGUAACCUGCCCCAGACUCUGGGAUAAGCGCUGGAAACGGCGUCUAAUACCGGAUACGAGCUUCCACCGCAUGGUGAGGAGCUGGAAAGAAUUUCGGUCUGGGAUGGACUCGCGGCCUAUCAGCUUGUUGGUGAGGUAAUGGCUCACCAAGGCGACGACGGGUAGCCGGCCUGAGAGGGUGACCGGCCAACGACUGGGACUGAGACACGGCCCAGACUCUACGGGAGCAGCAGUGGGAAUAUUGCACAAUGGGCGCAAGCCCGAUGCAGC